GUUUGCACUCAUCGGGGAAGGGUGAGAACCUUCGACUAAGGUUCGAUUCGAGCGAAAGCGAGAGAACGUUGCCACAGGCAACGGCCCGAAGGGUGAGGAGCGAAGCGACGAAUAAUCCUUCCUCCACCACCA
rnacentral:sRNA from 1 species